GACGGAGGAUGCAAGCGUUAUCCGGAAUGAUUGGGCGUAAAGCGUCCGCAGGUGGCAGUUCAAGUCUGCUGUCAAAGACCGGGGCUUAACUUCGGAAAGGCAGUGGAAACUGAACAGCUAGAGUAUGGUAGGGGCAGAGGGAAUUCCUGGUGUAGCGGUGAAAUGCGUAGAUAUUGGGAGGAACACCAGUGGCGAAGGCGGCUCACUGGACCGGUACUGACGCUGAUGCGCGAAAGCGUGGGGAGCAAACAGG
rnacentral:rRNA from 1 species